GACGAACGCUGGCGGCGUGCUUAACACAUGCAAGUCGAACGGUAAGGCCCUUCGGGGUACACGAGUGGCGAACGGGUGAGUAACACGUGGGUGAUCUGCCCUGCACUUCGGGAUAAGCCUGGGAAACUGGGUCUAAUACCGGAUAGGACUUCGGCCUGCAUGGUCUGGGGUGGAAAGCUUUUGCGGUUUGGGAUGGGCCCGCGGCCUUUCAGCUUGGUGGUGGGGGGCUGGCCGACCAAGGCGACGACGUGUAGCCGGCCUGAGAGGGUGGCCAGCCACACUGGGACUGUCAUACUGCCCAAACUGCUACUGGAGUCAGCAGUGGGUAAUAUUGCACAAUGGGCGCAAGCCUGAUGCAGCGACGCCGCGUGAGGGAUGACGGCCUUCGGGUUGUAAACCUCUUUCAGCAUCGACGAAGCGAAAGUGACGGUAGGUGCAGAAGAAGGGCCGGCCAACUACGUGCCCGCAGCCGCAGUAA
rnacentral:rRNA from 1 species